ACGUAGGUCACAAGCGUUGUCCGGAAUUACUGGGUGUAAAGGGAGCGCAGGCGGGAAGACAAGUUGGAAGUGAAAUCCAUGGGCUCAACCCAUGAACUGCUUUCAAAACUGUUUUUCUUGAGUAGUGCAGAGGUAGGCGGAAUUCCCGGUGUAGCGGUGGAAUGCGUAGAUAUCGGGAGGAACACCGGUGGCGAAGGCGGCCUACUGGGCACCAACUGACGCUGAGGCUCGAAAGUGUGGGUAGCAAACAG
rnacentral:rRNA from 1 species